UGGGGAAUAUUGCACAAUGGGCGAAAGCCUGAUGCAGCAACGCCGCGUGAGGGACGACGGCCUUCGGUUGUAACCUCUUUUAGCAAGGAAGAAGCGAAAGUGACGGUACUUGCAGAAAAAGCGCCGGCUAACUACGUGCCAGCAGCCGCGGUAAUACGUAGGGCGCAAGCGUUAUCCGGAAUUAUUGGGCGUAAAGAGCUCGUAGGCGGUUUGUCGCGUCUGCUGUGAAAACCCGAGGCUCAACCUCGGGCCUGCAGUGGGUACGGGCAGACUAGAGUGCGGUAGGGGAGAUUGGAACUCCUGGUGUAGCGGUGGAAUGCGCAGAUAUCAGGAAGAACACCGAUGGCGAAGGCAGAUCUNUGGGCCCGUAACUGACGCUGAGGAGCGAAAAGGGUGGGGAGCAAACAGGCUUAGAUGACCCUGGUAGUCCACCCCGUAAACGUUGGGAACUAGUUGUGGGUCCAUUCCACGGAUUCCGUGACGCAGCUAACGCAUUAAGUUCCCCGCCUGGGGAGUACGCCGCAAGGCU
rnacentral:rRNA from 1 species